UCUCAGCUUUCUUCUGCUCUUUUUCUGUUCUUCAAUCUUUUUAAUUGUGAAAUUUUUGUGGUUGCUUAUGGCGUUAACUCUGCUGUCCUUGUGAGUUUUAGUAGAUUCUACUUCAUUCUCCUUCUUUCUUUGUUGCACCCAUUUCUUGGUGAUGUGAUUUUGAUAUAUCCGAUUUGAUUUUCUUCAUAUCUUAGAUUUUUCGAUCUCUGCAAUUUUCCUCUUGCUUAGCUACUUCAAGAGAUUUGAGUUUUCACCUUUUUUUUUUAAUUUCAUGGAUUCUGUCUCUUUCUAAUUUUAUCACUUGCUUGAUACUAAUCUUCUAACCUCUGUUGUGUUUGUUUUUACAUUCUUUUGAAUAAUUUCUUGCUAGAUCUACAUACAUGUCAGAAGUUCUAUCUAAUUUUUAUAUGCAUGCUUGGAAAUAAAUACUUAGGUGCGUGUUUUUUGUUUCUAAUUUUGGUUGUGUAACGGUGUUUUUGUGUGAAAAUUUUAUUAUUUGAAGUUGCCUAAUUAAGGUGAAUUCAAAAAGUUUAUUUUUCUGAUUUUCUUUAUAUUUGAUUUCUUGGUUCUUAAAAAAGUGGAUCUAAAGUAGUGAGAUGCUUCUGCUCUCCAGUUUUUGUUCUCUCUCUUGUGAGUUUUGUGUAAUAUGUGAUUCCUAUAAAUGCCUAUCAUCAUUACCAUACAGUUGUAGAGUGAGGCACAUAAGGUGUUUGAUAAGGAAAUCUUUUGCGAGGCACUAUUUGGUUCUUAAACUCUUCAUUAUUUCAAUGUAUUUCAUGCAUUGCAACAGACAUGGGGUGGUCUUCUGUUUUGAAACCAUGACAAGCUUUAACCAAUGACCUGAUCGAGAAAAAAAUCAUUGGUGGAUUUGAGAGGAGCUGACUCGAUGAACAGAAAAACUACUAUCAAUUGAUAGGAAUCAUCAUGCAUCAUCAAUAAACCAUGGUAAACAUCAAAAUGUGCAUAUCUCAUGAUGCACUAUGCUAUUCUGGAAAAGGUCUAUUAUUGAGCUCAAUUCAUGAUUGAUACACAUAGGAGUUCAUUCUUCUGAAUGUGGCAAUGAUGCUGGUCAUGGCUGUUUAACUGAUGCACAAAGCGUUACAAUUUUUUUUGAAGUUAUUGUAGCUGCAUAUAGUGAAUAUGAUAUCAAAGUCAUUUGUUUCAGGGGUUGGGCACUUGGGCAUGUCACACACAAAAUGAUGAAGGAAUUUGCAUUGGAGGUUUGAGAAGAAUGCCACUUAAUAUUAUUCUUACUUUCUUUUUUCCUGACAAGCAGUUGAUCAGAUGUGCUUAAUCCACCGAUUUAUUAUUUCAGAAAUUUGAGAAGCCUAAAAUAUCAGGUAAAGAAUGAUGCUCGCUUUGCACUUGAAAUAUGUCAGCAAGCUGUGACGCUCAGGAUUAUCAUGAUAAGAAGUUGCUAUUGCUUCCCCAGAUCUAUCAUCAGGUAACUGAGCCUCAAAAUUUCAGAUGUUAGUAGCAAGAAAAGAAGAUAACUUUCAAAGACUGAUGACAUAUUACGACAACGACAACGACAACAACCCAGUAUAAUCUCAUUUAGUGGGGUCUGGGGAGGGUAGUGUGUACGCAGACCUUACCCCUACCCUAGGGUAGAGAGACUGUUUCCAAAUAGACCCCCGACAUCCUUCCCUCCAAGAACAUCCCACCUUGCUCUUGGGGAGACUCGAACUCACAAUUGAUGACAUAUUAAUGUGACAAUAAAUAUGUGUCAUAGAUAAAGUGUUGUACAUAUUUUUCUGAUUCUUAUGAGGCAUUCUUAAACUUUGGAUACAUGAUUCAACAAUAAAUGAACUCCAUAUUCAAGUUUCAAAAGAGUGCAAAUAAGGAUAUUGCAACUUCUUUAAAAUAAAAUGGAAACACUUAGCAACAAAAGCAAUGCCUUGUGAGAUCCAUCAAUUUGUCAUCCUUUUUUCAUCCCCUUGACAACUAUUUCCUAUAAUUCAUAGCUAUUUCUCUUAUGCAAAAAGAAUUUGAGACUUGUUCCUUACAUAGGAUAAAGUUUUAUAGUCUGUCACUUCAAGUCUGUUGGGACAAAUGUUGUACCAUGUUAGUAUUUAUAAGUGAUUCAGAGUUGUCAAUAUCCUUCUAGUGUUUUCCUGGUUAAACAUAGUGUUGUAAGAUAAAUUUUUUUCCUCUACCCAUGCUUGAUUCCUCUCUGUUUCCAAAUACUUUUGGUCUCAACAAAAAAGGACCUCUUGCCGUGCACACUCCUAAAAUCUUCUGUUGAUGGCAAGUAAGUUGAUUCUAGCAGUAAUAUGCCUUUGAAGAUGGAUGCAUUAAUCACUUAAAAAAUAUUAUCCGGUAUAGGAUUUUUUUUAACUAAAUUGUUUGUGCACUAGAUAGACUGAAGCAAAUCAGAUUGAUUAAUUCUAUAAAUCUUUAGAUUAAGAUGGACUCUAAAACUUUAUUGCAAAAACUAGAAAUAGAAGAAUACUGAAAAUUUCAAUGUGUUGGGGCACUUCCAACUCUUUGAUGAAAGUAAAUGCGCUUUAACUGCUUGGGAAAUUGCAUUAUCGUGUGUUGCAUGAUGUUUUACAGUUCAAUCCUUUUCAAGUUUGCCCUCUACAUAGGGAGAAUAGGAAAAAAAUGAUUCAUGACUUCAAUUUUGGUUGUCCUACUAUUAUUUAUUUCUUUGCUAAAUCUGAUUUAGUGAUGCUAUGGAAGAAGUCUAACAUAUUUUAUGACUUGAAGUACUUUUCGUGAAUGAACUUAACUAUUUUGUUGUAGACGUAACUAUUUAAUGGAUUGGCUUAGUUUGUUUCCAGUUUUGGUAACAACCAACAUAUUACAUAUAUGCAGAGGUUUCAUGCCACUACAAAGUCGAUUUUCGUGCAAGAGUUUCUGAGUUAUAUUAAGUAGAUUCUUUUAGAAAGAAUCUAGGUUCUCUAAGCUAUUAUGUAAAACGUUCUCUAUUAGUUUUUUUUUCUCAAUUAUUUUCUGCAUCCGCACACUUUUGAUUUUAUUUUACAACUUCUAUUUGUUUUCUUUGGAGAGUUUGGGUAAUAUGAAUUUCAUGCAUAGAUGAUGUUAUUUUAAAUUGGUUUACCUCUUCAGAUAAAAUAUUCCGGGAUUAGUCGGGUCUCUUAGAGACUCGGACACCCGGUGCAAAUCAAAAAAAAAA